rnacentral:rRNA from 1 species
CCCUUAGAUGUUCUGGGCCGCACACGCGCUACACUGAAGGAGGCAGCGUGUACUCCUGGAUCGAAAGAUUUGGGUAACCCGCGAAUCUCCUUCGUGCUAGGGAUUGAGGUUUGCAAUUAUCCUUCAUGAACGAGGAAUUCCCAGUAAGUACAAGUCAUAAGCUUGCGCUGACUACGUCCCUGCCCUUUGUACACACCGCCCGUCGCUACUACCGAUUGAAUGAUUUAGUGAGGACUUCGGACUGGGACCGAUGCGGCUUUCGGGCUGCGUCGGUAUUCUGGAAAGAUGUCCAAACUGUAUCACUUAGAGGAAGUAAAAGUCGUANCA